AAUUGGCCAAAUCUCUUGGAUGAGGUUUACAGUUAUUGCUGGUUGGGCAUGGAAAAGUUUAUUUUUUGUUUGAUCAAAAGCUCCUUUAUGAGUGCCAAAUGGACCAUGUGGUAGCAAAGAAAGAAAAGGUUCUACAAGCCACUUUCACAAAGUUAGACUUACCAUGCACCUGCCAUGCCAUCAAGUCAGAGAUUGAGACAGGAGAUGCCCAGACCAAACUCCUAUUCUGUAUCCGAUUUCAAAAGGAACCUUCAAGAUAUUUUGAGAUAUUUGUUAGAUAUUCUCGAGGUGCCAAAAGCAUUUGAAGCUUUUGAAUUACAUGCAGGUAAAAGGGAAAGAUUCUUGAGGUGAAACAGUGUGGUGGUUAUAUGGAGAUAUCCCAGGAAUUCCAGUUGAUGGAAAAUUGCUCAUAUCCAUGAACAUCGAAGCUUAUUUGUUCUAAAUUGACUUGGUACUUCCAAUGGCAGCAAUCUUGGCAUAAGCUAGCUGUUUCGGUCGACUCCCAUAGGUCAGGUUGGAGCACAAACUGAGAUAGAGUGUUAAGAAAAGAAGUUGAGAGUAGAGGAUGCUCUCAAUGCAACAAAGACAAGUUUUUCAUGAGACUCUGGUUUCUGGUUUAUAGAGAUAGUUCCUUGUCAGAUUUGUUAGCAGUAAGGACAAUGUUCAAUUGACUGUGAAAUUGAUGUUAAGGCAGCGGUUGAGGAUGGUAUUGUUGUUGGUGGCGGAUCCACCCUACUUAGGCUUGCAUCAAAGGUUGAUGCCAUCAAGGAUAACCUUGAGAAUGACGAAGAAAAGUUGGAGCGAGCUUUGAGUUACCCCCUGAAGUUGAUUGCCAAGAAUGCCGGUGCUAAUGGAAGUGCUGUUAGUGAGAAGUUACUUAACUACAUCAAUACUUCAUGACCCUAUAUAUAUGUUGUCGUGUUGUAUUUGAGGGAUGCCAUUUUGUGUAUUUUUUGCAGGUUCUUUCCAAUGAUAACCCAAAAUUUGGAUACAAUGUUGCAACGGGAGAAUACGAGGAUUUGAUGGCUGCCAGAAUAAUUGAUCUAACCAAGGUAAGUUCCAGAGAGAAGUAGCUCAAGAGAAAGAGCACUCACAGGGAAUUAUAUUUUUCAAAGUUCACCUCAUUCAAAGAUCUGUCUAAUGGCACAAUUCAAAGUGUAAUAAGGGUAGGUUUGGAUUAAAAAGUAAGGAUUAACUUCUUCUUUUUUUUAUUUGUCUUUAUUCAAAUUUUUUUCCAUUUGUUAAUUUUGUGUCAAACUUUUAUGACUUAUUGUUUUGUACGACGAGAGAAAUUGAAAAAGUAUAAAAUUUGGAUCGGAACUCAUAAUUUUUUUAAAUAAAAAACAAAUAAGUAAAAAAGACAGUUUUUUGAUUUAUUUGAUCUCUUUUGAAAAAUUUAUGAGUUUCGGUCAAAAAAUUUUACUUUUCCUAUUCCUCUCAUCGAGACGAAUCAAUGAGUCAAUAGUUUGACGCAAAACUAACAAAUGCAAAAAAAGAAAAGAAAAAGAAAAAGACUUACGGCCAAAAUAUGAUUGGGAAGAAGGGAAUAUUAUACGUGAUUUUGGAAAAUGUCAGACCAUUGGGGUAAAAUGCAAAAAUGACUUACGACCGAAAUUAGAGGAAAAAAAAUUCACCCCGUUGGUGCAAAAGGCGGUGAAUUGGGUCAACUUAAAUAUUUUGUUAUCAUGUAACCAAAAAAGGAUAAUAUUGUAAUUUUAGGGUACAUGGGUAUUUAAGUCAUUUAGAUGUAUAGGGGUAAUAUGGUCAUUUCAAUGUAUAUGAGUAUUUUAGUCAUUUUAGAAUUUAAAUAUAAAUGUAACUGGGUUAGUGGGCGGGUCGAAUUUGAUUUUAAAUAAAUCGGUCGGGUUUGGUAUGGGUAAUUGAGCUCAUAGGCAAUCAUAGCUAAUGUGUUCUAAAUGGGUUAAUCACCCAUUAAAGACCCAACCCACUUACGACUUACCCAAUUUGAUCCAAACUCGCCUAUUUGCCACCCUUAAUCUGGACUCUACUCUAUUUGAUGAUGAUAUUGUGACUACUCAACUCUUGCUUUGUGUCAAGACUUAUUCCGACUGAACAUGAUUUUUUCCCCGCUGAUUGGAGUCCAGACUUAUUCCGGCUGAACAUGAUUUUUUCCUAGUUGACUGGAAAACUUAAUGCUAUGCUAAUUUCAGGUAGUCAUGUUCCUUGGAACACACAACUUCAGUGGCAAAAACAUUCUUGAUGUCAGACUGUGUGGUGGUUGAGAUCAUAGAUCAUGAACCUGUUCCUGCCGGUAACCCCAUGGACAAUUCAGGAAACCAAGUUUCUCCCUUUUAUUACUUUCAGUUUUUGUGUAUGCAUCUUCCACAUUGCAUUUUAUUAAAUACCUUCUUUUCUUGUCGGGAUACGAUUACUAGACAUUGUUGAAGAUUGUGAGAAGUUAUCAGAGCAAAAAGUGAUCUGAGUUCUGCUGUUAGUUUUGAAACAUACUGGAGGGGGUCAUUAUUUGUGCAAUUUUAUUGUUUCUUCUUUUUUUGUUGCCUCUGUGUCAUUGUCAAAAAAGGGAGAGACUGUUAGAAAUAUUUGAUUUUGAUUAUAUUUUGACAAAUUUGAUUUCUUAAAAGCUUUGUUAAAAUGUUUUAUUAAAAACUCAUUUUGAAAAACAAGAAAAUGAUGUGUUGUAAUCUUCAUUAUACUAAUGUCUUGAUAUGUGCAAAAAGGAUCUUUAAUGGGCAUUAAUAGAAACUGUUUUUUAUAAUCUAAACUUUUAGCCCAUAAUUGAGCUAAUUUACUAAAGUUCUAUCCAGCUAAUAAUUUAUAUUUUAUAAUUCUAGCUUUCAGUAAAUGAAUAUGACCAAUUGAUUUUUAACCUUUGGACCGAAAUCUCAAUUUUGUUCAACCCACGCAUAACUUUCAAAGCUCCUGGCCCUAUUUAUUUUGAUCCACUUUGAUCAGUCCACACACAUUAAAGCAUCUGACUCAUUUCUUUAUUAAUCAUAGUGGAUGACUAGUUUACAAAUAGGUCGACCGACUGAAAUGUUUUUCACCAAUGUUGACCUUCAAAGCUUUGCAUUUUGGGCAUCCAAUCGUUACAAGUAUUCUGCGGCAGAUUUACAACUCAACAUUUAUAUGCUUGAAGCCUAUAAGUGGAGAGCUUUGGAGAAAAGGCAUGGUAUUCCCAGGUUCGGAGACGACAACGAGUACCGCAGCUCCACGUAGGGAGUGACUGCGUUGGUUUUCUUUUUAUUGGAGACCGAGGUGAGUGUUCGAUUUAUAGAUGUUCUUCAAUUGGAUUGAAUUUGAAAUAUUGGACUGUGACUUCGUGUCGGUGGGCAACAACGGCCAACAGCCGGACUUUGUGUCGUGCCUUUGACUUUGUGUCGAUUCAAUGGCUUUAUGCCAAAAUUAUGACUUUGUGUCGAGCUAGUGACUUUGUGUCGGAUUAAAGACUUUGUGUCGAUUAUUUGCUUAAUGCUUAAUUAAUGAUGAACUUGGAUUUAUUGUCUAUAUUGAACAACAUCCAUGUCUCAUUUACACUCCUGGAACUUGUUUGGGGUUCCAGUUUUGCAGGUAUAGGUCGGUGUCCACUACAGGUCACAUUUUGCGUUUUUGUGACUCGCUUGAGAA